rnacentral:lncRNA from 10 species
AUACCUACCGUCUGGAAACUAGGCUUUCUGCGAGGCUGCGGAGCCUGGCGAUUUAGGGACUCACGGCGUGUGUUCACUUGUGGAAGGGCAGAGCGAAGCCUACCUAUUGGAGUUCCAUUUAUUGGCAUCACCCUCCUCAGAGAAGAGAGACGGGGUUUCACCGUGUUAGCCAGGAUGGUCUUGAUCUCCUGACCUCAUGAUCAGCCCACCUCGGCCUCCCAAAGUGCUGGGAUUACAGGUGUGAGCCACCACGCCCGGAAUGAAGUAUUUCAGGUUUCAAGUGCCCCAUUUGCUCCAAGUCUGUGGCUUCUGACGAGAUGGAAAUGCACUUUAUAAUGUGUUUGAGCAAACCUCGCCUCUCCUACAACGAUGAUGUGCUGACUAAAGACGCGGGUGAGUGUGUGAUCUGCCUGGAGGAGCUGCUGCAGGGGGACACGAUAGCCAGGCUGCCCUGCCUGUGCAUCUAUCACAAAAGCUGCAUAGACUCGUGGUUUGAAGUGAACAGAUCUUGUCCGGAACACCCUGCGGACUGACCUGCGGGCUUGCUUGCUGACUCCUCUCAAAGGGACAGAGCGCCCCUGCUCCAGGGAGGAGGCUCACCGGACCC